GUUUUGGUCGGGAAAAUGUGAAACGGAAACGGAAACGGAAACGCGAACGGAGACGGAAAUGGGGAUGGCCAGGCAAACGGUACCAGGAGCACCGCGAGCAACGGCAACGUGCACGUGGGCCCCGGCGUGCCGCAGUACGGGUACCAGGUGCCGCCCAACGGCAGCGGCAACGGCCAGUA
rnacentral:ribozyme from 1 species